GGAUAGUGAGCAGGUAACACUUUUUUGUUAUUCAUCAGUUGUGCGAAUGCAGGGUCCCCCCUCCGUGUUAACCAUAUGCAUACCCUCAGGUAUGUUUUAGCCUAUUUAAAAAUGGUAAAAUGUAGUACGAUGUUUUCUCUAAAUGAGUAAGAUAAUGACUUGUCAAACAGCAAGUUUGAAAGAACUAUAUUUGUUUUGCAUAGUUAAAGAAGUCAGUUAUUGUUAGAGGUCUAAGAUGCAUUCCCUUUAUUGGGGGAGGGGAAGAUCUAUGUUCAAAUUAUUACCAGUUAAGGGUUGAAUUAAGUACAAAAAAAUAGCAAGUGCACAACAAAACUAGUUUUUAGCUGUAAUCUGACAGAUUUGCAAACAAACAAGGGAAUGCCUUUAUGCAAUACAUAGAUCACCAUUUAAUAGAUAAAAUAAUAAUUUAAUGCAUCCUGAGAUUGCUUCUACUUAAUGUGUUAAUUGCAUUAUUGCCAUCAAAAACAGAUUUGGAAAGAAAGAAAUAACAUUUUCAGCAUGAAAGAAAUAUUUUUGCAUUACUACUAACUGCAGUAUUUGUUUUAAUUGUAUUUGUUUUGAAACAUUGGGUCAUUUACCCACAGUAUAGUUAGAAUUAAGUGGGUUAAUAUAUUCUACUUAAUAUAAAAAUACAAGUCUGUCUUUGGUAAAAAAGAGGAGUGAGAUAGCGCUAAGUAACUAUAGGCAGCGACCUUAAAAGGGAAUCCCUCAAACCCUUUAAAACAAAAUACAAUAAAAACAAUAAAAGGCUGCGCACAAAGGAUAAAUAAAGUCCAAUUAGAGUAAAAUAAAAUAAAAUAAGUCCAAAUGGUUUUUUCUUACUGAUGUCC